AAGUCCUUGGCAGGGCUCCGAGCUUCGGGGUGGCGGCCCCGGGUGGAGUAACAAAGCUGGCGCCAGAUCUGGGUCAGGGACUCAGGCUCUGCCCCUUCUCUCCCGCGUCCCCGCCUCCGGGACGGGGCUCUGCACUCCAGCUGCUGCCGGUCCACGGUGCGGAGCGAAGAGGGGCCACAGCAGCCUCCCGUCUCCUGCCACUGCGUCUCUUCCAAUCAGGAGACCAUGCUCUCGCCCAGCGUGGAAACUUGACCCCCAGGCCGGAUUCUCAGAGAAACGGCUCUGAUCCAUCUGGCUGGGCUCAGGUGUCCCGCGGAGGUGUCCUGAGCUGUGGCCAGGCAGAGCUCUCGGUAGCAAAGGUGGCGGCUGCAGGCCUGUCCGAUGAAGCCGUGGGUUGGCGGGGAAGGGCGUGACGGGUGUGCUGGGCUGGGGUGGGGGCCAGAGGGGCAGGAGCGCAGGCGGGACUACCAGGGCCGUGAAAUGCUCUCCAUGGGUUCUCGUUUCCUAAAAUGUUUUCUUGUUUGUUUGGCUGUGCUGGAUCUUAGUUCCAGCAGGUGGGAUCAUUGUUGGGGCAUGUGGGACCUAUUUCCCUGGCCAGGGAUUGAACCCAGGCCCCCGGCAUUCAGGGCAUGGAACCUUAACCAUCGAGCUACCAGGGAAGUCCCCGUAUGAUGGUAUAAUGGUGGGUGUUGUCGUUGUGCCUUCUAUCCAUUUCUAUAGAACGUGCAACACCAAGAGCGAAACUGCACUGUGGACUUUGGAUGGUUACGCAGUGUCUGUGUGGGCUCACCCUUGCCGAACUCUGAAGGCGAGAAGAGGCCGAUCGCCGUAUAAUCUAUUCAAUUUCAAUUUCAAAAGAUGCUGCCGCUGAUCAAAGGAUACCCGUAUUCAAACUUUUGUGAACAAAGGAAAAGACACCUGGGAUGGAUUUUCCCUGAGAGCAAAGAAUAAAGACAUGUCAGUUCUGCACCUGGAACAGUGAGAAGGACAGCAGGCCCAGAUACUCUCACUUCGGUCGAAGCACCAAGUCGUUAUGCUUGAGGAAAGGCGGAUGCCAUGCUUUUAGCCAAUUAUCAGAUUGUGUUUCACUGAAUAGGGAGCCAAAGAGCUAAGAUUAAGAGAUAGAUAUUUUUCCCCAGGUCAGGUUAGGAAGGGAGACAAGAGAGUUGAGGCAGCUAAAGAGGAGAAAAUCUUUGGGGAAAAAGACACAUUUCUAUGAGGAAUUCAAUAAUAUAUUUUUGCCUUGUUGUAUGAAUUGCAAUUCUUUUCCCUGCCUCCUCAUAGAAUUUUAUUAAAACACUCCUUUCUGGCACCUUAUAGGUUCUCAUACACCUUGAUCCCUUUAACUUCCCAGUCCCUACUAUUAUAUUUCAAUGAAGAAUAUAAGAAUCUGGCAAAGUUUUAAAAUUAAGGCAAUUUAAAAUAAUAUUAAGAAUGUGG
ensembl:lncRNA